rnacentral:rRNA from 1 species
UACGGAUUAAAGCCGAGGCGGUACAAGAUGGGUGUGCGUAUGAUUAGCUAGUUGGUGAGGUAACGGCUCACCAAGGCGAUGAUCAUUAGGGGGCGUGAGAGCGUGGNCCCCCACACGGGUACUGAGACACGGACCCGACUCCUACGGGAGGCAGCAGUAAGGAAUAUUGGUCAAUGGAGGCAACUCUGAACCAGCCAUCCCGCGUGCAGGAUGACGGCCCUAUGGGUUGUAAACUGCUUUUAUAUGGGAAGAAAAGAUGCAUUUAUGCGUAACUGACGGUACCAUAAGAAUAAGCACCGGCUAACUCCGUGCCAGCAGCCGCGGUAAUACGGAGGGUGCAAGCGUUAUCCGGAAUUACUGGGUUUAAAGGGUGCGUAGGCGGCUUUAUAAGUCAGAGGUGAAAGGCAGUCGCUCAACGAUUGAAUUGCCUUUGAUACUGUAGAGCUUGAAUUAGGUUGAGGUAGGCGGAAUGUGGCCAUGUAGCGGUGAAAUGCGCAGAUAUGCCAUAGAACACCAAUUGCGAAGGCAGCUUGCUGGAGCUAAAUUGACGCUGAGGCCACGAAAGCGUGGGGAGCGA